rnacentral:rRNA from 1 species
AGUCGACGGCAGCACGGGAGCAAUCCUGGUGGCGAGUGGCGAACGGGUGAGUAAUGUAUCGGAACGUACCUUUCAGUGGGGGAUAACGUAGCGAAAGUUACGCUAAUACCGCAUAUUCUGUGAGCAGGAAAGCAGGGGAUCGCAAGACCUUGCGCUGAUUGAGCGGCCGAUAUCAGAUUAGCUAGUUGGUGAGGUAAAGGCUCACCAAGGCGACGAUCUGUAGCGGGUCUGAGAGGAUGAUCCGCCACACUGGAACUGAGACACGGUCCAGACUCCUACGGGAGGCAGCAGUGGGGAAUUUUGGACAAUGGGGGCAACCCUGAUCCAGCCAUGCCGCGUGAGUGAAGAAGGCCUUCGGGUUGUAAAGCUCUUUCAGCCGGGAAGAAAUCACAUGGGUUAAUACCCUGUGUGGAUGACGGUACCGGAAUAAGAAGCACCGGCUAACUACGUGCCAGCAGCCGCGGUAAUACGUAGGGUGCGAGCGUUAAUCGGAAUUACUGGGCGUAAAGCGUGCGCAGGCGGUUUGUUAAGAUAGGCGUGAAAUCCCCGGGCUCAACCUGGGAACUGCGUUUAUGACUGGCAGGCUAGAGUAUGACAGAGGGGGGUGGAAUUCCACGUGUAGCAGUGAAAUGCGUAGAGAUGUGGAGGAACACCGAUGGCGAAGGCAGCCCCCUGGGCCAAUACUGACGCUCAUGCACGAAAGCGUGGGUAGCAAACAGGAUUAGAUACCCUGGUAGUCCACGCCCUAAACGAUGUCAACUAGGUGUUGGGUGGGUAAAACCAUUUAGUACCGGAGCUAACGCGUGAAGUUGACCGCCUGGGGAGUACGGC